rnacentral:lncRNA from 1 species
CUUUAAUGUGAAGUCAACCGACAGGGCUAUGGCAAUUGACACAUUCGAGAUGUCCAACAUAUGGAAAAGGAAACAACCAAAAGUGAAGCUGGAUCCACACAUGUACAAGUACAUCCUUGGGAUCAUCAAUGAGAACCACCACUGGAAACUCACUGUAAGUGAAAUCUUGCGGCAUACAUGAAGUCAUAAAUUACUCUUACGAUCCUUUUGUUUUAUUUUACAUACUUAUAUUCAGUAUAGUCUACUUGCCAUAAAGUAAGUGGUAAAUUCCGGUGUUGCCAUGUGUAUGUGUAGGUGAUUUGCAGUGUAUUUUAGUAGCAUAGAUCUCCGCUAAUGUCUUUUUUAUUAUUAAAAAAAAUAAAGGUCAUGAUCCCAUCACAAAAAAAGGCUCUCUUACUCGAUCCUCUUGGGGAAUCCAGUACCGACAUAAAUAGUUGCAAAGAUGUAACAAGGUAAGCUGAGAUUUUGCUCUUGGAUUUCUAUUGGGACGUUCAUACAGAGUGUAUAGCAAUCCACUACAGUUACUUU